ACUCCUACGGGAGGCAGCAGUGGGGGAAUAUUGCACAAUGGGGGAAACCCUGAUGCAGCCAUGCCGCGUGUGUGAAGAAGGCCUUCGGGUUGUAAAGCACUUUCAGUAGGGAGGAAGGUAGUGUAGUUAACACCUGCAUUAUUUGUACGUUACCUACAGAAGAAGCACCGGCUAACUCCGUGCCAGCAGCCGCGGUAAGUACGGAGGGUGCGAGCGUUAAUCGGAAUUACGUGGGCGUAAAGCGCAUGCAGGCGGCCUGUUAAGUCAGAUGUGAAAGCCCGGGGUCUUAACCUCGGAAUUGCAUUUGAAACUGGCGAGGCUAGAGUCUUGUAGGAGGGGUUAGAAUUUCAGGUGUAGCGGUAGAAAGUGCGUAGAGAUCUGAAGGAAUACCGAGUGGCGAACGGCGG
rnacentral:rRNA from 1 species